AGUAUCCGCCGGGCACUGGGUGCGUACGAUUCACGGUAGAAAACCACAGAGCCCAGUCUCUGACAAGGGAUAGAGAUGUCAACUGUUUUGGUCGCGUCAACGCGCACGCCCUUCAGAGACGCGUACGGGUUUAACACACUGGUGCGAGGGGAAUCGCCUGGAAAUUUUCACUUUUCCCGCUGCUCUCCUUUCGGCACCGCGGGCUGCGGUGCUUUAAUUCUGACAGUGAAAGAAACACGUCUGUUUUUAAAGGAGGCAAAACUGCAAAAAAAUCUGGGAACAGGUUAGGAACAGCGGAGCGACCCGCUAGCUGGCUACGCUUCGUGUGUGUGUCCGGCCCGGGUCUGCCCCCCAGGUACACACCUGCGCCUCUCGUCCACUGGCCGGGAGAGAAAGUAUGUCCGCCACAUGUUUUGUGGCUUCACCCAAACGGAAGAGGUCAAAAAACUUGUGUCCAUCCCUCCGCGGGUCCGGGUCUGUUGUGUCUUCAGCGCUCCGGGGUGUUGUUUGGAUUGGCAUCCGGGACAGGAACGAUUAAGACGCCAGAUGAUAUGAUACGAUUUUUAUUUUUUUAGAAACAACACCUUAGUGGACACAGGAAAUAAUGCUCUCCCCUAAACCGAGCAGCGUUAUUUGUGUAUUUUUACAAAAAGUCGGGGGAAGAGUUUUGCACGCCAAUGCACGCUUAAGGACGGGGGAGACGGGAAAGGAGAGAAGACAGCGGCCGCCCCCCCUUCUCUCUCUCUCCCUCCUCAACGUCCACCGACACCACUACAACAACAACGAAAAGUCUGUCAACUCCACUCCGGCAGGAAAAAAAAACUUCGACAAAGCGAGGGAGACUCCCAGCGCUCCGAGGACCCUGCAGCAGAGGACGAGUUUUGGACGAGAGCAAGAAGGGGCGAAAGACCCUAAAGAAAAGGGAGAGUUAGCGGGGUGCCCGAGUUCCUCCGUCUCCUGCCGCCCUGAACCAUGUGCUUCGAAGGGCUGAUUCUAUGGAUGCCAGAGACCAGCUCUUUAUGAAGAUGAAAAGGUAGGACUGCCCAGUCACCUCUGGGAUGGCCUUAACACGCCAAAGGCGUAGCAGUUUGAUCUGUGCCAGGCUGCGUCAGAGCUGCUGGGUUUGGUUUAAAAAUGCACUCAGCUCUGCCAGUUUCACACAGAGGACCCGAGAUGUGUUGCUAGCAAGUGCCUGUAAGCUGCACUAUUCCUGAAGUCCCAGGCUGCUGUGCAGUGGGAAUCUCCCUUCACACUGACUGCCUGUGGGAAUGGAGGGCUCCCUGUACCAAGGAAGAGGAUGGGAACCUAUGAUGUGAA
rnacentral:lncRNA from 1 species